UAUGACUAAAAUAUUAUGAACCUGAGUUGCUAGAUUCAUCCAUGGAACUAUACCAUCUUUGUACGUCUGAUAAACCCAGAGAAUGAAGAUAUAGAAUCUAGCUCUAGUUGACUUUAGACUAGAUCUAGGAUAAAUCUCAAGCCUAGAUGAUCAGCUUCAUCCUACCUUGAUCGUGACAUGAUCAUACAUAAUGAUUAAUCUGACUUCCAGACUUGUUAACUUCGUCGUAGGUGUCUUAGCAUUAUUUACCUUCGCUUAGCUUCUUCUUUGUGAAUCAUGAAUGGAAGUGCUCACAGAUCGUUCUUUAAACUACGAUCAUUAAACUAUAUGAAGAUCUACUUUAGAUUUACUAACGACUCUAAGCUAUAUCCUAUUUUUACCCUUUACCUAGUUGAUAUCUAUAUUUUAUAUCAAUAUAAGAAUAAUAGACCUAGACUCUUUUAUCUAUGAUCUAGAUCAUCUCGCUGUAGAUCUAGAAUCUGUAUCUAGAUCUAUUUCUAUACUCUGAUUAUACAGAUUAAAUGUUUCUGAUGAUCAAUACUACUGUCAACAGCCAUUGCCCAUUAGCAUACUCAUGUACUAGAUCAAGCUCUAUUGAUCACAACUCAUAUUGCCUAGAUAUAAACAACUGUACUAGAUUGGACUAGAAAUUCUAGUUGGUUCUAUUUUCUUUUUUCAUUAUUCUCACACAUUCCAGUUGGUACCAAAUUGUGCUACUAUUCACUGUAGUUCUAGAUCUUAACUUUUCUCUUAAGUACCAAAGAAGUACACAAAGGAUGUUGAAUGAUACCCAAAGGGCUCUAAUUGCUACCAUUCAUUAUGAGGAUUCAAGGAUUUACCCAGUGACUGCCAAUGUGUGUUCUUGUUGUUUUCAAAAGAGUUUGCAUCCAAUGCCAGAAGCUGUAUAAAUACAUUUAACACCUGUGCAGUGUAUUUUUAAAGUCAAAAUUGGCUCAUGCAGAUGUAUAUUUUAAGAAGAAAUGAUGUUUUCUUAUCCCUAAGAGUUUAUCAAUAGAAUGGAUGCCACAAAACUCACUUGGUACUUACUUCCAAUACUCCAGCAUUAGCAGACCUUAGAACAAUAGCUGACUGCACUGUAUGUGACUUAUUGCGGACCAACAAAUUCGAUUUUUUUUUUGAAGAAUAUUAUAAUCUUAUGGCAUACAUUUGUGAAAUACGCUAAAUUUAAAAACACUCUUUUAUGUUGCAAAAUUUGAAAAUUAAAAAUA